UUUCGACCUGAGCUCAGGCAAGA
rnacentral:rRNA from 1 species